GGGACGGGACGGGACGGGACGGGACGGGGCGGGGCUCGGCUCGGCUCGGCUCGGCUCGGCUCGUUGCUGGAACGCCACCAGGACAUGGCCCUCAGGUUUCUUUACUGGAGGUGCAAUGGGAUUGCACUGGGGUAACUGAGAACAGAAAUUGGCCUGACAUCCCGGAGCACACGCUUCUCCAUUUUCAAAGUAUUCCAUGAAGGUUUUAGUCAGUGACUCUGGGGCAGAAGUGUCCAAAAUUCUGAGGACCAAACAUGGUCAGUCCUCCAGCCAUUCUGCAACUGCUGACUGAGCCUAAGGAAGGUCAUCCACCAGUGCUUGCUGCUGAUGAACUCGGGGUGGGAGGCUCUGAAGUCCCUCAGGCAUUCUUGAACAUCUGACCCUCAAUCAGCAGGCAAUCUCUGGGAAGGAAGAUCUCAAAGUACUUUGUACAGGAGGGUGUCAUCCCCAUUUUACAAAUGGAGAAACUGAGCCACUGAACCAGACAGUGACUUGCCUGAGAUCAUGCAUCCCAUCAGUAAUGGGCGCAAGAAUAGAACCCCAGUCUCUAGUGUUCUGUUGGAAACUUGUCUGGAGUUUGCAUUAACAUAACCCUGUUUAGAAUUUAAUCUACCAU